rnacentral:lncRNA from 1 species
GGACGUAGCUUCCCACAAAUCGGUGUGUAGGUACAUAUUUCCUAGGGAGAGUUCAGUGUAAUAUCUUCUCGGAUGUUACAGAAAGAAUGCAUAGUAUUAUGUUUCCAAAUUUAUUCAUGAUAUAAAUAUUUCUUUUUCAGAGGACCAGACAUUGUGAGAAAGUUUGAUUGCAUUCAAGAGCUGCCAGAGCUAAAGCUAGAAAAGAAACUAAACAAGUUCUUCUCAUGAUCUGAUUAAUUGAUCUUCACAUUGAAUUGUUAACCUGUAUGCUACAUUGUAUAAUGACGUUGAGCAAAUAAAGAUACUGCAGUCAGCGUUACAGCCUUCAUUAAACAGAAUGAAUUGGUGUUACAGAAAUGGAUAACAUAUGGAGACAAACACUUUCAGGCUACAGAAACUGCACAUUGUUUGAGACUAUGAGAAUGGCUUAUUUUCAUGAUGGAACUCAUACCACAAAGAAAGACUUGCUUUAUCUUAUUUCCUAUAACUAGUCCUCAAAGACAUACCCAAGUAAACUACAACAGGAAUGAAAGCAAACAAAGUUGAUUCAGGAUUUAGACUUGAAUGUUUUUGUGUCAACAGUGUGUGAAAACUGCGGAAAAUAGGAUUUUAAUUUCAAGGAUUUGAUUUAGUAUGUCUAGGAGUGAUUUGUUUUUAAUUCAUCACACAAGUUAUUGACAAUGCUCUAAAAUAUAAAUAGGAUGUGUAAAUACAGACUUUCAUACCUAAUUAAAAUAAUGUUGAACUCAACAGA